AGCGCCGAAUCCCCGAUCUUUUCGGUCGUGGGAAAUGUGGCGUUUAGGAGUGAGCGUGCCGGGCGCGGGUUCCGCAACAAGUCCCCCUGAUCGGGGCCUUCCCAGAGCGGGUGCGAGGCCCAUGGUGGCGGGCCCAGUCUCGGAUGCUAUCUCCUGGGAGUCGGGUUGCUUGGGAGUGCAGCCUCAAUCGGGUGGUAGACUCCACCUAAGGCUAAAUACCGCCGUGAGACCGAUAGCAAACAAGUACCGUGAGGGAAAGUUGCAAAGAACUUUGAAGAGAGAGUUCAAGAGUACGUGAAACUGCUCAGAGGUAAACGGGUGGGCACUCGAAAUCCUGUGUCGGGAGGAUUCAGUCUGUAGUUGCCGUCGCGCUGGUCGGAAAUUAGAAGGGUUUCCCGUGAACGGAACCGUCCGACCGCGACUUUCGGUCAGGACAGACGCAUUUGUCUCCCGGUCUUAGGACGCUGCAGCCCGUGGGGAAGUGCAGACGUGACGGCCUGGAAGGCGAGAAACGGCAGUUGGCCGGUGGCGAGCGUCGAGCUCUUUGCCGGGUGUUAGCCGUCUCGUCGGUGGCUCGUCUCCCCACGGAGGUGAAUAAUCUCCUCCUCGACGAAGUCUGGACGUGCAGUCGCGAGCGAAGACAAGCGCGUGGUCGCACUCCGUCGGAGUGGGCCAGCGUCAGGUCGGCGCCGUCGGUGACUGAGGACCAGUGGGAGGUUGGUGGUUAGCGGCGACUUGGUCGGUCGCCCACCCGACCCGUCUUGAAACACGGACCAAGGAGUCUAACAUGUGCGCGAGUCGAUGGGUCUCGAUUAAGCCCAGAGGCGCAACGAAAGCGAAGUUCGGUUCCACGCCGAACGUGUCGGGAUCCCGCUACUCCGGUAGCGGGCGCACCGACUACCUGUCUUCUGCGACUUGUCGCUCGGACGGA
rnacentral:rRNA from 1 species